rnacentral:rRNA from 1 species
UACGUAGGGUGCAAGCGUUGUCCGGAAUUAUUGGGCGUAAAGAGCUCGUAGGCGGUUUGUUGCGUCGGCUGUGAAAUCCCGAGGCUCAACCUCGGGUCUGCAGUCGAUACGAGCAAACUAGAGUGUUGCAGGGGAGACUGGAAUUCCUGGUGUAGCGGUGAAAUGCGCAGAUAUCAGGAGGAACACCGGUGGCGAAGGCGGGUCUCUGGGCAACAACUGACGCUGAGGAGCGAAAGCGUGGGGAGCAAACAGA